rnacentral:rRNA from 1 species
UGCUCGAGUGGCGAACGGGUGAGUAACACGUGAGUAACCUGCCCUUGACUUUGGGAUAACUUCUGGAAACUGGGGCUAAUACCGGAUAGGAGCUCCUGCUGCAUGGUGGGGGUUGGAAAGUUUCGGCGGUUGGGGAUGGACUCGCGGCUUAUCAGCUUGUUGGUGGGGUAGUGGCUUACCAAGGCUUUGACGGGUAGCCGGCCUGAGAGGGUGACCGGCCACAUUGGGACUGAGAUACGGCCCAG